UGAAAAAGUACGUGAAAUUGUUGAAAGGGAAGGGCUUGAGAUCAGACUUGGUAUUUUGUAUGUUACUUCUUCGGGGGUGGCCUCUACAGUUUAUCGGGCCAGCAUCAGUUUGGGCGGUAGGAGAAUUGCGUUGGAAUGUGGCACGGCUUCGGUUGUGUGUUAUAGCCUUCGUCGAUACUGCCAGCCUAGACUGAGGACUGCGGUUUAUACCUAGGAUGUUGGCAUAAUGAUCUUAAGUCGCCCGUCUUGAAACACGGACCAA
rnacentral:rRNA from 2 species